rnacentral:misc_RNA from 1 species
AUCUAAACUAGUCGCUCUUCAAUAGAGAGGCAGGCAAUUAUGCUAUUUCUAUAUAAUAAGUAUAUAGAUAUUUAGCAUAGGUUAAGUAAUAAAAAAAAAAAAAAAAAAAAAAAAAAAAAAAAAAAAAAAAAAAAAAAAAAAAAAAAAAAAAAAAAAAAAAAAAAAAAAAAAAAAAAAAAAAAAAAAAAAAAAAAAAAAAAAAAAAAAAAAAAAAAAAAAAAAAAAAAAAAACCUAACCUAACCUAACCUAACC